rnacentral:rRNA from 1 species
AGUUCAGAUUGCAGGCUGNAACCCGCCUGCAUGAAGUCGGAAUUGCUAGUAAUCGCGGAUCAGCAUGCCGCGGUGAAUACGUUCCCGGGCCUUGUACACACCGCCCGUCACACCAUGGGAGCCGGUAAUACCCGAAGUCAGUAGUCCAACCACGUGAGGACGCUGCCGAAGGUAGGAUUGGCGACUGGGGUGAAGUCGUAACAAGGUACC